rnacentral:lncRNA from 1 species
CUCCCACGAAUGAUCAAUGUAAGGCUUUGGUUCUGAAUAAUUUCUAACAUUUUGUUGUAUUAGAGUUUUUUCUGCAAGUUCAUUUGAAUAAGCUUCAAAAUUUGCCAAGGUAGCAUAGAUGUCCUCUUGCAUGACUGUUUUGACCUCGCAUACAAAAAAAAAGAAUACCUUAGUAGCACUACACUAGAUAAAAAAAUUAAACAAAAAUAAAACUAAAAAGAAAAAGAAAUAGAAAAGAAAAAUUAAGAAGAAAAAAAAUAGAAUAUUUACAAAUGAAAAUAUUUAUAAUUGAAAAAAAAUUAAUAAAAAUUAAACGUUGCACAAGCAUCGUCUUGUUAAAAUUAUCAACAAUCUCC